CGGGACGGGUGAGUAAUGUCUGGGAAACUGCCUGAUGGAGGGGGAUAACUACUGGAAACGGUAGCUAAUACCGCAUAACGUCGCAAGACCAAAGAGGGGGACCUUCGGGCCUCUGCCAUCGGAUGUGCCCAGAUGGGAUUAGCUAGUAGGUGGGGUAACGGCUCACCUAGGCGACGAUCCCUAGCUGGUCUGAGAGGAUGACCAGCCACACUGGAACUGAGACACGGUCCAG
rnacentral:rRNA from 1 species